AAUAAUGGCCCGCCAAGAUGUCCACGUCCUAACCUUCAGAACCUGUAUGUUAUCUUACGUGACAAGAGGGACUUUGCAGAUUUGAUUCGGUUAAGGAGCCGGAGAUUGAAAGAUUGUCCUGGAUUAUUCGGGUGGAUGGACCCUGUGUAAUUAUGAUGAUAAGAAGGAGGCAGGAGUGUCAGUGUGAGAUGUGAUGACCAGAGCAGAGGUGAGAAAGAGAGAAGAAAAAAGAUUUGAAGAUGGAGGAAGGAACGAAGAUCCAAGGUAUAAAGGUAACCUCUAGAAGCUGGAAAGGAAGGAAAUAGAUUUUCCCAUAGAGCCUCCAAAGGAAUGCAACUGCACCAGCACCUUGAGUUCAUCUAACCUCCAAAACGCAUGCAUUCCGAUAUUUUCCUGGCCCAUCACAAUAGUAACUGGGAGAGAGUCCGCAUCCUGAAGGAGCUCAGAGGACACGAAAGCAGAAGCCUGAGAAGCAAGAGCCUACACAGAAGAAAGGAAGAUCUGAGAAACAUUUGAAAUUAAAAUAGUGUCCUUCAAUCAACUAUGAGUGAGGCCGUACCAAUUCUAUUGACCAUGAAUAUGUGAAGAUCAAUUUGACAAAGCCAUUGACAAAUGUGCAGAAGUGAAGGCUUAUAGCAGAAAGCACAGUGGAGUUAUUCAUCACCAUCACCAUGGGGAC